rnacentral:rRNA from 1 species
UAGAUACCCUGGUAGUCCACGCCGUAAACGAUGUCUACUAGCCGUUGGGGUCCUUGAGACUUUAGUGGCGCAGUUAACGCGAUAAGUAGACCGCCUGGGGAGUACGGCCGCAAGGUUAAAACUCAAAUGAAUUGACGGGGGCCCGCACAAGCGGUGGAGCAUGUGGUUUAAUUCGAUGCAACGCGAAGAACCUUACCUGGUCUUGACAUAGUGAGAAUCCUGCAGAGAUGCGGGAGUGCCUUCGGGAAUU